CUUUCUCCCUGACACCAUGUGAAGAAGGUCCUUGGUUCCCGUUCACUUUCCAUCAUGAUUGUAAGUUUCCUGAGGCCUCCCUAACUGUGCAGAACUGCCUUUCUGUUCCCUGAGACACAACAAUAUUGAAAUUAGGCCAGUUAAUAACCUACAAUGGCUCUCCCUCUCCCUCUCCCUCUCCCUCUCCCCACGGUCUCCCUCUCCCUCUCUUUCCACGGUCUCCCUCUGAUGCCGAGCCGAAGCUGGACUGUACUGCCGCCAUCUCCGCUCACUGCAACCUCCCUGCC
rnacentral:lncRNA from 1 species